CGGUGCAAGCGUAGUUGCCUACCCCUUCUUCCUUCACACGGGAGAGGUCCAAGGUUCGAUCCCUUGUGCGCCCACCA
rnacentral:tRNA from 1 species